UUCCCGCACUCAGGCGCCGGUUGAGGCUGCGCUCCCGGCGAGGGACAGGUACUCCUUCCAGCCGGUUAACGUUCAGCUCAAGACCGGAUUAAGUCUCUUGCUCUCCAAAUAAAAUUGUAAAGGUUUGGAAAUAUAGAACCACAUUUUUACCAAAAACCUACUAGAGAGCAUUCGUCAGCUUGCCCUUUUCGCCCCGAAAAACGACUUUUUCACUCACAGCCUGUCUCUUCCUCUUUUUAAAUUUAUGCCGACAGAGGAAGAAGCUGAUAUUUAACAAAUAACAAGAGGUUGCGAUAAAUAGAAUUUAAGGUGGGAAAGCAGCCGCCAAACUGACAAAUCGUCUUCGAGACCGACAGGAAAAUAGUAGUCCGGAAUUUGGCUAAUGGAUGGAGAAGGUGGUCGUUUUUCAUAGACCCUUACGGAGAAUAUCCAGUGAAGCUAAAGAGAUCACCAUAAACUUAUGCAUUCAAACGCAUUUCUGGAACAGAGGUCGUAACCGAUUUUGUUUCCAUCAUCAGUCCUGAACAGUUGAUUAUUUAUAUAAAUAAUCAACUGUUAUUUAUAUAAAGGUAAUAAAAAUAUUACCUUUCCUCCUCCUUUACAAUGAAUAUCUGUUAGAACACCUGCCAGUGUAACAAUCAGACUACAAAGCUACAGGAUUAUGAUUACUGUCUCGGAUGAUGAGCCCGAGGUCCUACAAAUCAUGACCCCCGCCGGCCCCUCAUUCUGCCCAUAUUUGCCAAACGUCUGCAUCAGUAAUUUGAAUAAUUUAAAAUAGUUCCAAAACAGCAAAGCUCAGCAGUUACGCAAAGAAACAAGAAUGGAAAACAUCCCCUCAGGCACAGAGAAGUGUCCACCCCUUUGGGUGGAGGAAUUAUACAAAUCAGGAGAAAGAUAAGGACAAUAGCAGUUCAUCACGAUUUAUCCCGCCUCUGCAAUGUUCUAGACAAAUUAACUCGGAGCGCUCCAAUGGACCCGCAUUUGUCUCUUUACUAUUCAAUCGCUGUAAGAUAUACGGAGACUGCAUCACUUUAAAUGGGAGUAUCAAUUGCUUUGUGGUUAUGCUGGAUUUUGUGUUAUUGCUCAGUCACUAAAGUAAGAAAAAUCUAUAUGGCUUGUCAAAUUUAUGCCUAUUGUAUUUCGCCCCCUGCUGGUUUAGCUCGUGUGCAAGCUUGAAUUUGUGUGUGUGUAGAAACUAGAAAUUGAUUUUAAACGAACACAUGCUUGUUUUCAUUUUACAGCUCUACUAAACAGAAAUAUCAAAAUAAGAACAUAUGACUAGACCUUAAAGCAGACCCUACACUAAGAACAUGCUUAAACUAAAUGAAUUUAAACUGCACUCCAGCCUGCGCGACAGAGUGAAACCCUGUCUAAAAAAAAAUUAAAUUAAAUUGCACACCACCCAUCAGCUUACAAUUUUGUAAUAGGGAAAUUGAGUACCUAUUUGGCCAACUAACUUGUAAUUGGUAAUCUUACAUGUAAUUCCGAAGACAGUGCCCUAAUGAUCAUGACAUUUUAUUACAAAAGGAAAGUAUUUGAGUGUUUUUAAGGUGAUAAAUCUGUGGGAAAUAUAAAGUCCAUUUCAUUUGGAGUCAAUGACAGUAUUGUUUUUACUUACCUUUUAAAAAUUAUGGCCAUAACUGCAUUAUCUAAGAUUUGGCAUCAAGAAAAGAAGAAGAAAAAAAUUACCAGUUAACAUUUGUUGUAUUUACUUCUAGUUUUUUUUCCUGUGCGUACUUUUUACAAACUUGUAAUCAUAAUUUAAGUAGAUUUUGUGUCCCUUUUGUGUUGUAAGCAUUUCCACCCAUCGUUUAAUGUAAAACCUUAAUUUUAAUUGGCUGCUUAGUAGUCAAUGGAAUGACCACUAUAUGGAUAGUUUUCACUAUUAUAAAAUAAUACUUAGAUGAACA
rnacentral:lncRNA from 1 species